rnacentral:rRNA from 1 species
UUGAACGCUGGCGGCAGGCCUAACACAUGCAAGUCGAGCGGUAGCACAGAGAGCUUGCUCUCGGGUGACGAGCGGCGGACGGGUGAGUAAUGUCUGGGAAACUGCCUGAUGGAGGGGGAUAACUACUGGAAACGGUAGCUAAUACCGCAUAAUGUCGCAAGACCAAAGUGGGGGACCUUCGGGCCUCAUGCCAUCAGAUGUGCCCAGAUGGGAUUAGCUAGUAGGUGGGGUAACGGCUCACCUAGGCGACGAUCCCUAGCUGGUCUGAGAGGAUGACCAGCCACACUGGAACUGAGACACGGUCCAGACUCCUACGGGAGGCAGCAGUGGGGAAUAUUGCACAAUGGGCGCAAGCCUGAUGCAGCCAUGCCGCGUGUGUGAAGAAGGCCUUCGGGUUGUAAAGCACUUUCAGCGGGGAGGAAGGCGGUGAGGUUAAUAACCUCAUCGAUUGACGUUACCCGCAGAAGAAGCACCGGCUAACUCCGUGCCAGCAGCCGCGGUAAUACGGAGGGUGCAAGCGUUAAUCGGAAUUACUGGGCGUAAAGCGCACGCAGGCGGUCUGUCAAGUCGGAUGUGAAAUCCCCGGGCUCAACCUGGGAACUGCAUUCGAAACUGGCAGGCUAGAGUCUUGUAGAGGGGGGUAGAAUUCCAGGUGUAGCGGUGAAAUGCGUAGAGAUCUGGAGGAAUACCGGUGGCGAAGGCGGCCCCCUGGACAAAGACUGACGCUCAGGUGCGAAAGCGUGGGGAGCAAACAGGAUUAGAUACCCUGGUAGUCCACGCCGUAAACGAUGUCGAUUUGGAGGUUGUGCCCUUGAGGCGUGGCUUCCGGAGCUAACGCGUUAAGUCGACCGCCUGGGGAGUACGGCCGCAAGGUUAAAACUCAAAUGAAUUGACGGGGGCCCGCACAAGCGGUGGAGCAUGUGGUUUAAUUCGAUGCAACGCGAAGAACCUUACCUGGUCUUGACAUCCACAGUACUUUCCAGAGAUGGAUUGGUGCCUUCGGGAACUGUGAGACAGGUGCUGCAUGGCUGUCGUCAGCUCGUGUUGUGAAAUGUUGGGUUAAGUCCCGCAACGAGCGCAACCCUUAUCCUUUGUUGCCAGCGGUUAGGCCGGGAACUCAAAGGAGACUGCCAGUGAUAAACUGGAGGAAGGUGGGGAUGACGUCAAGUCAUCAUGGCCCUUACGACCAGGGCUACACACGUGCUACAAUGGCAUAUACAAAGAGAAGCGACCUCGCGAGAGCAAGCGGACCUCAUAAAGUAUGUCGUAGUCCGGAUUGGAGUCUGCAACUCGACUCCAUGAAGUCGGAAUCGCUAGUAAUCGUAGAUCAGAAUGCUACGGUGAAUACGUUCCCGGGCCUUGUACACACCGCCCGUCACACCAUGGGAGUGGGUUGCAAAAGAAGUAGGUAGCUUAACCUUCGGGAGGGCGCUUACCACUUUGUGAUUCAUGACUGGGGUG